rnacentral:tRNA from 5 species
GGCGGUGUAGCUCAGCUGGCUAGAGCGUUCGGUUCAUACCCGAAAGGUCGGGGGUUCGAUCCCCUCCACCGCCA